rnacentral:rRNA from 1 species
CCUACGGGGGGCUGCAGUAGGGAAUCUUCCGCAAUGGACGAAAGUCUGACGGAGCAACGCCGCGUGAGCGAAGAAGGUCUUCGGAUCGUAAAGCUCUGUUGUUAGGGAAGAACAAGUACGGGAGGAAAUGACCGUACCUUGACGGUACCUAACGAGGAAGCCACGGCUAACUACGUGCCAGCAGCCGCGGUAAUACGUAGGUGGCAAGCGUUGUCCGGAAUUAUUGGGCGUAAAGCGCGCGCAGGCGGUCUUUUAAGUCUGAUGUGAAAUCUUGCGGCUCACCCGAAAGCGGUCAUUGGAAAUGGGGGGACUGGGGUGAAGAGGGGGAAAGCGGAAUUCAAGGUGUAGGGGUGAAAGGCGUAGAGAGGUGGAGGAACACAAGUGGCGAGGGCGGCUUUUGGGUCUGAACCUGACGCUGAGGGGCGAAAGGGUGGGGGCAAACAGGAUUAGAUACCCCUGUAGUC